rnacentral:rRNA from 1 species
UACAGAGGGUGCAAGCGUUGUUCGGAAUUACUGGGCGUAAAGGGCGUGUAGGCGGUUUAACAAGUCAGAUGUGAAAGCCCGGGGCUUAACUCCGGAAGUGCAUUUGAAACUGUUAGGCUUGAGUUCAGUAGAGGUUGGCGGAAUUCCUAGUGGAGAGGUGAAAUUCGUAGAUAUUAGGAGGAACACCGGUGGCGAAGGCGGCCAACUGGGCUGACACUGACGCUGAGGCGCGAGAGCGUGGGUAGCAAACAGG